CUCUUAUUUCGGAAGAAGGGCAUGAGCGCGAGACUACUGUAUAAACAGGUGCGUCAUUAACCAAUCAGUAAUUUGUUUGGCGGGUUUUCAGCUGGAAGUGUCUUGACUACAGGAACACGGUCAUCUUUUAUGACGUUUAUAUUUUAACGUAGCUCUUUAUAAAACCAAAAGUCAUUGUUUUAUGAUCCAUUUUAUUUAGUCUACGGGUUCCCGAGCCGUCUACUGAAAACCAACAAAACGUUUUUAAGAAGUCUGAAGAGGGGUAGACAUCUAAUUUUAAUCGAAUAAAACGUGAAUGAAGAAGAUACUACGGUACUGUGAGUAACUAUCGUUCCUUAUGAGCUAGUUCUUGGCAGUGUCUGUGCCUUCUGGUUGGGUUAAAUAUAGGUGAGGUUGAAUUUAAUGUGGUUCGGUUUUCAUAGAUGGUGCUGGUUUGUGGACAGAUGUGUUAUGGAUAUCUGCUAGUUAAUAGAAGCGAUGGAUUCAGUUUGUAUGUAGUUUCUGCAGUGUUGUAAGGUGUAUGCAUUCACUGUGGGCAGAACCCAUUUCAAUCCCAAAAUAUAAAUCUAUCCACGUGAGUGAACGCAUCCUGAUGGGUUGUUUCUGUGAGAGGAGCUUCAUGCUGAGUAUGGUGCCGGUUAUGUACUUAUGUAGACUAGCCCCCUUGAGGGAAAUUGACUGUUUAAUGGACUGUCAAAAUAGCAGUUGCAUGAGGUGGAAUGUUAGCCGAAUCGGUGGAGGGUUUUCUGAGGAGAGGAAACGAGGGUAAGCCUUUGAGGGUUUAUCUUUUCAGCUACUAGAACACAGCUGUGGUCUGACAGCAGGUGGCACGGAAGUUACUUUCAGACUUUUGAAGUCUCGGUUGUGGUAUAUUUACCUUCUCAGCUGGUGGAGAUUGAAUUCAGUUCUCAAGGCUUUAGUUUGGAAGGAACCCUAAUUGUGUUCUUUUCCACGAUGGUUUCUGAUUCUAAGGGAUGCUGUUUGUGGUAAAUCCACCCAACGCUUAUCGCUGCAUUGCGGUUUGAUCUGAGGAAGAAUUGUAUCUCUAGGUUGGUAGAACACAAGAGGUGAUCCACAGAGUGGCUCCUGGUCCUCUACUGGAGCCAGCAGCGGGCUCUUUGCCUCGCAGAGGUUGAUGCCAUGGCCAACCCUCCCUUGACUUCAUGAAGAACUACCACAAGCCCAUCACUUGACUCUCUUUGCUAGCCAAUUACUUUUCUCUGCCUACCGCUUCCUCCGUGUCAUCUUGAUGCCAGGUAGUCUACCAAACACGUCCCAGUAGUGGGGUUUCCCAUGAAUCCGCAGAUUCUUCUUUUGGCCACACAUUUCCAUUGACUAUCAUCUAGCAUUGCUGGAGCACUGGAUCGCACUGUCCUGUCACAAUGGUGAUAUUAUGACUAUCGUAAGAAUUCAUUCUUUAUUUGCUUUACAUCGGAAUAACUUAAAUAUCCGGUGAGUAUCUGGUUUAAAGUGUAGAUAUCAGUCUAUAUACUUGAGAUGCCUCGUACAAAAACAACGUAUAGUUCUGGAAAGUGUGUGUGUGUGUGAUCAGGGUACAAAUAGUAUACACAGUAUAAGGGAAAGAAUUACCCAAAUCAUGAUUAUGAAAAUGAAUUUGACCUUUUCUCCCCUCAAACCGCAUUUUCUGUCGAGCUUUGUAGUUGUUUAUAUUCAGGAAUGGACACGACAGCAACCGGGCUGUCAUUAUGUACCGAUUGAAUAUCCUUGUCAUUCUUAUGGAUUGAAUCUGAUUAUGUUCAGAUUUGUCUUACCUUGCUUGAGGCAUUCCCCAGGUUGUUUAUCGAUUUCGUUUCAGCGUCCUUAUUCAACAAAUGCAAUGUUUUUGCUUCUUUUAAAAAGUAUUUCACUCUUGACAGGGGCAUUUCAAGGGUGUCUUGCACCUUUUCUGGUUAUUGUUGGAUGAGGUAGCCUUGGUCUAUGAAGGUUCUUGUCUGAAUCAAGUUAUGUAUUUCCCAGAUGCAACUCCAUAGGUGGCUGCUAUGGCUAUUAGGGCUGCUCGAUUAUGGGAAAAAUCAUAAUCACGAUUAUUUUGGUCAAUAUUGUAAUCACGAUUAUUCAAACGAUUAUCUUUGAGUCUGAAAACGUGUUGUAUUUAUUCACCAAGUCUCUCCCAAAAAAAACGUUGUAACUGAGAACUUUGAAAUUACGCCUUAAAAAAAUACACAAAAUGGUCAAAAAUAAAAUGUUCCAAUCUAAAAUGAUAUACAGAUAUGUGUCCAGCUGUUCUGACCUUUCUAUAAAUCUUUAAAAAAAAUAAAUAAAAA
ensembl:lncRNA